CUCUGGAUCACGCUCUGAUGAGAACUCUUUUUUUUCCCCCUAGGCCAUGGCCAUAAUAACAUUGGAUCUGAGCCGUGCCGGCAAUCUACACUAAUGCAGCAAUGCUGGAUGCUUAACCCACUGAGUGAGACCAGGAAUCAAACCUGCAUUCUCAGAGAGACAAUCUUUUAGGUCCUUCACCUACUGAGCCACAAUGGGAACUCCCUGAUGAGAACUCUUGUGCUGGACUCAAUCCACAGUGAUGGCUGAGACAAUUGCUAAGGAGAGAGAGGGAACAUUCAUUUCUACAGGUCACAUGAUUAGUGGCAGCCCUGGUCCUCUAACUCCAUUGUCUAGUCUCUUUCCAUCACUUCACUCCUCCCUGAGCUCCUCAAGUUCUUCGAAUCUCUGUCCUAGGAGCUGGUCAUUUUUCCUGCCAGGUAAUAAAUAUUUUAAGCUUUGACAAGUAUAUGGUCUCUGUUGCAACAACUCAGUUCUGUUUUUAUAACUCAAACAUGGCCAUAGAGGUGCAUAAAUAAACAGGCAUGGCUGAGUUCCAAGAAAUCCUUAUUUAUGGCAUUGAAAUCUGAAUUUUUUUUUUUUUUCGUUUUUAUGGCUGCACCUGUGACAUAUGGAAGUUUCCAGGUUAGGGGUGGAAUCAGAGCUGCAGCUGCCACAGCCACAGCAACACUGGAUCGGAGCCACCUCUGCAACCCAUGCUUGUGACAACGCUGGAACCUUGACCCACUGAGCGAACCUGCAUUCUCACGGACACUUUAUUGAACCACAACAGGAACUCUGAAAUCUGAAGUUCAUACCAGCUUGCAGGUAUCGUAAAACAGUACUCUUAUUUGAUUUUCCCAACCACUAAAUCAUGUGCAAAUCAGUCUUAAAAGGCACAAAAACAGGUGGUGGGCCACAGUGUGUGGGCCCCUGCUCUGUCUUUGUUUGUAAAACUGGGGAACACCCGUGCCUCUAUCUUAGACUUUUUUUUUGUUUUGUUUUUUUUUGCCAUUUCUUGGGCCACUGCAGCAGCACAUGGAGGUUCCCAGGCUAGGGGUCUAAUCACAGCUGUAGCCGCCGGCCUACACCAGAGCCACAGCAAUGCCAGAUCCGAGCCGCAUCUGUGACCUACACCACAGCUCACGGCAACGCUAGAUCCUUAACCCACUGAGCAAGGCUAGGGAUCGAACCUGCAACCUCAUGGUUCCUAGUUGGAUUCAUUAACCACUGAGCCACGAUGGAAACUCCGCCUCUGUCUUAGACUUGUAGGGAUUAAAUGAGAUCAUACAGAGAAUACAUUUUGCACAGAGGACAUGGUCACUCUUGUAUCCCAGUGUAAGAGCAUGACCUUCCCUGGACCU
rnacentral:lncRNA from 9 species